GUGAACAAGUCGGGGAAAUGGACUUGAACCUCUGACCUCAACCACCUCCUGAAACCAGUAAUUAUCCUUACAGUGACCCACCUUGUUUUUUAAAUAGAUAUUUAAUAGUGCUAUAACCAUGCAUGUAAAAGUCACCUUUAGACAGAAUGAAAAGGUAAGCCAAAAGUAGGAGGAACUAUUUGCAAAUCAUGUAUCUUAUGGAGACUUUGAGUCUACAAUAUGAAAAGUAAUAACUUACUAUGACUCAAUAAUAAAACAAAAUGGGGAAAAAGACUAGAAUUAAACAUUUUAUCAAAGAAGACAUUCAAACUGUCUUCUAAGAAUUAGAAGAAAAUGUUCUCCAAAUUGUUAGUCACUAGGAAAAUGCCAAUUGAAACCACGAUGGAGGGACUGGACUUCCUGGUUGAGGAGUCUGCCAUCCAGUAUCAGGGACUCGGGCUCAGUGCCCCUUCUGGGAGCUGAGAGCCUACGUGCAUCCAGGGAAGCAACCCCAUGCGCUGCGACUGCUGAGCCCGCACGCCACAGCUCAGGCCCGAUGUAGCCCGGUAGAUGAUAAACACACGAGAGGAGUUCAGUACACGUGGACCAGAGUCACUAUAAUAAAAAAAAAAUACCAGGCCUUACGAGGACUUCAAGAAAACGGAAGCUCCCCACAGUGCUGGUGGGGAUGAAAAUAGUACAGUCCCCACUGGAAACAUCCGCCAGUUUCUUAAGAAGCUAAACAUAAGCUUAGCAUAUGACCCAACAACGUCACUCCUGUGAAGCUCAAAGAAAUAAAAUCAUACUCGCUCAAACCCCAUCGGUGCUCUUAGCAGCACUGUUCAUAACAUGAAAUACGGAAGCAGAGUUGGACACAGCGGAGCAACUGAACUGAACUGAUGGAAGCAACUCCACUAGCAAACGGAUACACAAGUGUGGGAAGUCCGUGCACUGGACUUCCAGAAACAAAGUGACGAACAACGCAGAUGGACCUCAAGCUCAGCAGAGGAGGACGACGCAGAGUGUUAACACGCCGUGGGGUUUCAGUGCAGUGUUCAGAACAGAAACGUUUAAACCGAAGUCAGACCUGCGGCGACCUGGGGCUGAGUGGGGUGGGGCGGGGGCCUGGCUUCAGACAGGCUCAGUGGAGUUGUCGAGAGUGAAGACGUUAGCGUGGACCACGGUGCCGGCACGACUCUAUAAACUUACCAACUUACUGUAAAUAACAACUAAAUGUAUUGGGUCAAAAGUCUCUUCAAUGAAGUUAUUAAAGUUAUCUUUGGAAACUAAGUUUGAAGAACCAUAGAGAAAGUCCCUUUACUCAGAUAAUGUUUGACGGUAGACCGUGCUUUUAGUACGGCUCGCUCUGCACGCUCCUGCCCAGGCCAGCCGUACUCCGGAAUGAGCUCAAAUGUAACUUCGUGGCCCUGAACCCAAGCACAGCCGGCCGAUUUUAAGUCAAAUUUGACUUUGAACUGACCUUGACUCACAUCUCAGUUUCAUCUCCUCACUGACAAAUCAUCCUAAGCAUGGGCCCCUUGAAAUGACCUUGAAUCUGACCCUCCUCCUGAUCCUGUUAUAUUCCAACUUUCAAGUUAACACUGAGCCCUACCCACUGUGACAACUCCUCUCCAACCUGGGACUAAUCCACCUUAACGUCCCAUCAGCCCAACACCAUCUUACUUGUGUCCUGUACACACACAGCUACCUCACCUAGAUUUGGUUUUCCCUCAGUAAGAAGAGGUGGAGGCUGAACUCCACCACCGCAGUAUCUUUCCCCAUGUUCCUACC
ensembl:lncRNA